rnacentral:tRNA from 1 species
GCCGCUUUAGCUCAGGGGUAGAGCACAUCAUUCGUAAUGAUGGGGCCGUAGGUUCAAAUCCUACAAGCGGCACCA